GUGCUUGCUUAGGCAGCAUAUACACUAAAAUUAGAACAAUACAGAGAAGAUUAGCAGGCCCCCAGCACAAGGAUGACAGGCAAGCUUGUGAAGUGUUCCAGACUCUU
ensembl:snRNA U6 U6 spliceosomal RNA